rnacentral:rRNA from 1 species
UGAGGAAUAUUGCACAAUGGGCGCAAGCCUGAUGCAGCGACGCCGCGUGGGGGAUGACGGCCUUCGGGUUGUAAACCUCUUUCACCAUCGACGAAGGUCCGGGUUUUCUCGGAUUGACGGUAGGUGGAGAAGAAGCACCGGCCAACUACGUGCCAGCAGCCGCGGUAAUACGUAGGGUGCGAGCGUUGUCCGGAAUUACUGGGCGUAAAGAGCUCGUAGGUGGUUUGUCGCGUUGUUCGUGAAAUCUCACGGCUUAACUGUGAGCGUGCGGGCGAUACGGGCAGACUAGAGUACUGCAGGGGAGACUGGAAUUCCUGGUGUAGCGGUGGAAUGCGCAGAUAUCAGGAGGAACACCGGUGGCGAAGGCGGGUCUCUGGGCAGUAACUGACGCUGAGGAGCGAAAGCGUGGGGAGCGAACAGGAUUAGAUACCCUGGUAGUCCACGCCGUAAACGGUGGGUACUAGGUGUGGGUUUCCUUCCUUGGGAUCCGUGCCGUAGCUAACGCAUUAAGUACCCCGCCUGGGGAGUACGGCCGCAAGGCUA